GUGGGGAAUCUUGCGCAAUGGCCGAAAGGCUGACGCAGCGACGCCGCGUGGGGGAUGACGCAUUUCGGUGUGUAAACCCCUGUUGCCCGGGACGAACACCUCCUUUUGGGGAGGCUGACGGUACCGGGUGAGGAAGCACCGGCUAACUCCGUGCCAGCAGCCGCGGUAAUACGGAGGGUGCGAGCGUUGUCCGGAAUCACUGGGCGUAAAGGGCGCGUAGGCGGCUACUUAAGCGUGUGGUGAAAGUCCGGGGCUCAACCCCGGAUCGGCCGUGCGAACUGAGUGGCUCGAGCACUGUAGAGGCAGGUGGAAUUCCGGGUGUAGCGGUGGAAUGCGUAGAGAUCCGGAAGAACACCGGUGGCGAAGGCGGCCUGCUGGGCAGUGGCUGACGCUGAGGCGCGACAGCGUGGGGAGCAAACAGGAUUAGAAACCCGAGUAGUCC
rnacentral:rRNA from 1 species